AUUGAACUCUGGCGGCAGGCCUAACACAUGCAAGUCGAACGAGUGGCGGACGGGUGAGUAAUGUCUGGGAAACUGCCCGAUGGAGGGGGAUAACUACUGGGAACGGUAGCUAAUACCGCAUACCCUCGGAUGUGCCCAGACGGGAUUAGCCAGUAGGUGGGGUAACGGCUCACCUAGGAGACGAUCCCUAGCUGGGCUGAGAGGAUGACCAGGCACACUGGAACUGAGACACGGUACAGACGCCUACGGGAGGCAGCAGUGGGGAAUAUUGCACAAUGGGCGCAAGCCUGAUGCAGCCAUGCCGCGUGUAGGAAGAAGGCCUUCGGGUUGUAAAGUACUUUCAGCGAGGAGGCGUUACUCGCAGAAGAAGCAUCGGCUAACUCCGUGCCAGCAGCCGCGGUAAUAC
rnacentral:rRNA from 1 species